UACGGGGGGGCAAGCGUUGUUCGGAAUUACUGGGCGUAAAGGGCUCGCAGGCGGCCGACUAAGUCAGACGUGAAAUCCCUUGGCUUAACCAAGGAAUGGCGUCUGAUACUGGACGGCUUGAAUCCGGGAGAGGGAUGUGGAAUUCCAGGUGUAGCGGUGAAAUGCGUAGAUAUCUGGAGGAACACCGGUGGCGAAGGCGGCAUCCUGGACCGGUAUUGACGCUGAGGAGCGAAAGCCAGGGGAGCAAACGGG
rnacentral:rRNA from 1 species